rnacentral:rRNA from 1 species
UACGUAGGGGGCAAGCGUUGUCCGGAAUUAUUGGGCGUAAAGAGCGUGUAGGCGGCCAGGUAGGUCGGUUGUGAAAACUGGAGGCUCAACCUUCAGAGGUCGACCGAAACCAUCUGGCUAGAGUCCGGGAGAGGAGAGUGGAAUUCCUGGUGUAGCGGUGAAAUGCGCAGAUAUCAGGAAGAACACCAAUGGCGAAAGCAGCUCUCUGGGACGGUACUGACGCUGAGACGCGAAAGCGUGGGGAGCGAACAGG